rnacentral:misc_RNA from 1 species
GUAAGCCCAUUGAAGCGAGAGGAUUCGUCGCCUUCGCAGAGAGAGAAAAUAAAGUAGUGAUAUGACAAAGCAGGACUGGGUAUAGAAAAAGGAGAAACUGAUGGAUUCUGCCAGCGAGAUAGGCGCUCAAGGAGCUAGGAGUGCUGUAGCAAUGGAUGUAUAUUCGACCAUGAAGAUUCUUGAUGAUUUAGAUUUCAAGAGCUGGAUGGAUUGGAAAAUUAUUAUGGAACUUGUCCUUGGUUUGAUGGACUUGGACCUUGCCCUUCUUGAAGACAACCCAAGAAGCCUCUGAAUAGCUCUUCUGAAGACACAGAUCGAUAUGAAAAAUGGAAGAGAAGUAAUGGCCUAAGCCUUUUAAUGAUGAGAAAGAAAAUAUAUGAUGGUAUAUAUGCUCUUGUGCCAGAGACUAACCAAGGUGAUGUUAAACAAUUUUUUUGCUGCCCUUGAAAACUUAUUUCUGAAAAUUGAGAGUGCAAAGAAGUUGGAAAUGUCAAACAAGUUACAGAAAAUGAAAUAUGAUAUUGAGAGGAGUGUGUCCAACCACAUCAUAAAAAUAUCCAGUUUUGCCUAGAGGCUGAGAGCUGCAUGGUUUUCUGUUUCUGAUCCUGAUAUUGUUUUUUAAUUGGUAGACCCUCUUCCUGAAGAUAAGUUUGUGAAUGUCAAAACUUUAUGCGAUGACCGAGAGGAAGAGUGGGGAUUGGAUGAGCUAAUAUGCAGGUGUGAAAAAGCAGAGAGCGUAUGCCACAUGCUGAAGAGUAAUAGAACUGUUUCUGGUGAAAGAGAGGGGAUGGGAAAUGAUCAGCUGGGAGAAAAGCCAAACAGAAGAAGGCACUAUAAAUUUUAUACUUCUGGAAGGACAGGACACUUAAUGAAGGACUGCAAGCAGAUCAGCAGCAGGUGAAUGUUAUUGGCAGAAGGCAAAGACACUGAGCUUAGUUUUCACAUUUAAUUGGAGUCAUUGCAUGUUUGUAGCAAGAAGGUGGAGGCAACUGAAUAUGAUUUGUUUUUUGUCCUCUUAAUUGUGCACCUUUUGUUCUAAUGGUAUAGCUCUCAGUUGCAUAUUUUGCACUUUCUUGAUGUCAGAAUUGGUAACAGAUUUGUUAUCUUUGCUUGUUUUGUGUGUUUACUUUCUCAGUUGAAGCUUCUAAAAACCUAUAACUCUGAAUGAGUACAAGAAAUCAUGGGAUUAGACUUGUUGCUACAUUUUUUUU